GAUGAAGAACGUAGCGAAAUGCGAUAAGUAGUGUGAAUUGCAGAAUUCAGUGAAUCAUCGAAUCUUUGAACGCACAUUGCGCCCCUUGGUAUUCCAUGGGGCAUGCCUGUUCGAGCGUCAUUUGUACCUUCAAGCUUUGCUUGGUGUUGGGUGUUUGUCUCGCCUUUGCGUGUAGACUCGCCUUAAAAUAAUUGGCAGCCGGCGUAUUGAUUUCGGAGCGCAGUACAUCUCGCGCUUUGCACACAUAACGACAGCGUCCAAAAGUACAUUUUACACUCUUGACCUCGGAUCAGGUAGGGAUACCCGCUGAACUUAAGCAUAUCAAUAAGCGGAGGA
rnacentral:misc_RNA from 1 species